CAGGCAGGUAUUAAGUUGGUGCAAAAGUAAUUGUGUUUUUCCCAUUAAAAGUAAUGAGAAAAUUGGCAAUUACUUUUGCACCAACCCU
rnacentral:miRNA from 1 species